rnacentral:lncRNA from 1 species
AACAGGGCAUGAAAACAUUUAUAGCUUCUCACUUAUUACACUGAUAGCCUUUUUCUUUUAAAAUAUUUCAGUAAGAAUUUGAACUAUUUACAAAUGAGUAGCAGGUGGAUUCAAGGAUUACAAAUAAAGUAGGGUCUUCAGGCAUGACUGAUUCCUUUCCCUUUCCAUUCUCAGUGUGUGAGCGAUGCUGUAAGAAGCUGCAAUGACUGGGCCAGACAUCUUUUACACUCAUGGGAAUGCAUUCCAAAGCGCUCACCAUGAGAAUCAUUACAGCCCGGAGCUCUUGCAUAUUGUGGACAGUUUGGAUUCCUUUUGACUCAUUCUUGACCUACUAGUAAUCAUUACAGAGAACGAGAGAGGAGGAGAGAAAGAGACACAGCAAGAACACAUUUGUUCUAUGGAUAAAACAGAACCAGAGUUCAUGAUUCAUAGGAAAGUAUGCCUUGUUUUGGACUGCAGUCUCAGGCUGAACGUAUCUCUGUUGCUUCCAGCCUCAGAUGAGAGGUGAGAAUAUUAAAGCUGUGGUCUUCACAAAGUGCCUAUUAAUGAUUAUUCUUUU